GCUUUCAUAGCUCAGAUGGUUAGAGCACCCGUUUAGUAAGCGGGACAAUGAAAGCA
rnacentral:tRNA from 1 species